UCGCAUUUCGAACCCCACGCAAACCCCCGUGGCGCGACGCUGCCCUAAUCGCAGCGACUGCUAUUUUUCUUCGGCGACUGCGGCGUCUUCUCAGUGAACGACGGCUGCCUUCCUCUCCAUCGGGAAACAGCGACAGUUGGCGGUGGCGUCUUCCGCUCCCGGGAUAUAGCGUGCUUCACAGUUUCUGAAGCUACUAACGACAAUAGAUAAAUAGUGGAAGGUAGUGUCAGUGCGCAUGUGUCAAAUCAAGACAUUAUUUCAGUAGUGGAGAAUUGCUUGGAUGUGAGCAUGAUAAUAAGUAAAUGAUCAAAGGUACUCUUAAUCAACACUCAAACACCAUUUAGAGACUUAAAUCUGAAAGAAAUGGUUUAUGGGAACUGAAUGCAGGUGGAUUUACGUGAGGAAUUUUAUCCGUUACAGAUUAUCAGCUGGAAGUUUUCAACUUCCUUUUGGUUGGAAGCAGAUACAGAAAAUAUAUUUAGUUUGGAUGUGCUUGAUCUGAGGUAGAAGAGGAGUUGGACUUAGAGAGGGCAGCGAUUAGAUUAGUUUUCUUGUAUUUUUCUGCAAACAGCACACGAUACUGCUUCAAAAGAUGAUGUUUUUGGUGCAAAAAAGGCUCUUUUGCCUUUUCCCAUGUAACAAUUCCUCCAUUUAUCUUUCCUCCUAUCAACUUUGCGGCCUGUUUAACUUUUCCACUGCCAAAUACGGAAGUUCAGAGCAAAGUUCCAACUUUAUAGUGGUCAACCCCCUUCAAUCAUGUGAACUUUCCUCAGAAAAGGCUGCAAAAACAGCCAAGUAUCACGCCUGUUGUAAAAAUUCUUCAAGUCUUUCCACCGAGUUCUUUAAGCAGAACGGUUGGAGCGAUGCACAAGUCAUGAAAGUUACCCAGAAGGCACCCAAGUUGCUGCGUGCUAAGGUAGAGACUACACUGAAGCCCAGGAUGAGAUCUUUGCAGGACAUGGGAUUUUCUGAUACUGAAAUAGUUCAGUUGGUUUCAAAAUGUCCGACUAUACUUUUUCAUAAUAUCCAACCGAAUUUGAACUUCUUGAAGUCACUACUUGGUUCUAAUGAGAGGUUACUGAAAGCCUGCAGUAGGAACCGAUUUCUUCUUACUUCUAACCUAGCUCGGAAGAUAGAGCCCAAUAUAUCUCUCUUAAGGGAAUGUGGCAUCAGUGAUGAAUGCAUCGCGGGUAUGGUGGUGUUGAAUCCGGGUUUUGUUGUUCGAAAAAACAAAUUUAUUAGGGAAGUUAUCGAUUAUGUUGAGGAGUUGGGUGUGCCACGGGAUUGUGGAAUGUUCCGUCAUGCACUUCAUUCUGUCAUGAACAUGAGCAGAUCUAAGUGUGAUGCUACCUUUGCAACCUUUAAGAGCUUUGGUUGGUCCCAGCCAGACAUCAUUGCCAUACUCAGGAAGAGCCCAUGUGUUUGGAGACUCUCAAAGAAGAACAUAUCUGACAAAUUUACAUUCCUGACGAAGGAAGCUGGUUGUGAGCUGCAGUAUAUCAUUCGCAAUCCUGGGAUUCUUUCAUAUAGCUUGGAGAAGAGGGUGAGACCACGACAUGAAGUUAUAAAUUUUCUUGAGCAGAAUAAAUUGCUGGAUAAAGGACAUAGCCUUUUAUAUGUCAUGCCACUAACUGAGCAGAAGUUCAUGAACCAAUUUCUAUUCCCGUACAAGGAGAAAUUUACUGCUCUCUAUGAUGCCUAUGUUGCUUCUGUGCAGGGAAAGCACCAUGUUGUCGCUGAAAAUUAGGAUUGCGAGUGCUUCCUCGAGACAAAAGUGUAAACCUAUUGCAUACUGACUGCACUAUUUAAUCAUCUUAAAUUAGUGACAAUUUAUAAUCUUCAGGAGUUUCUUCUGAGUAGAACAUCACUGUUGAUUUUGAUAUCGAUGUGAAUGAGUACAAGUAAUUAGUCGAAAAAUUAGUUAUUUUGGCAUCGACUAGUUUGUUACAUGAGCAUCCGAUAAGAGGGGUGGGCCCCACGAAUUCAACCGGAGGCGGUUCGACCGGUCAGGCGCCCGAAUGAUUAAAAUCCGGAUCGAACGUGAAUCACAUUUCGAACCCCACCCAAACCCCCGCGGCGCAACCCUGCCCUAAUCGCAGCGACCGCUCUCUUUCUUUGGCGACUGCGGCGUCUCCUCAGUGAACGACGGCUGCCGUCCUCUCCAUCGGGAAACAGCGACAGUUGGCGGUGCCGUCUUCCCCUCCCGGACAAGGUGUGUAGGAGGAAAACAAGUGUGAAAGGCUAGUCAAAUGGUCUGUUGCACCUGAAUCUAUGAUCCAAGGAGCCUUGCGAUCAAAGAAGCAAACAAAGUUGUGAAAUAAUUAUCUUUCUUGGCCAAAGAGCUAGAUGAUGAAGGAGAAGGAUUAGGAUUUUGGGAUUGGUUUAGAAACUGAAACAGUUGCUCAAUUUGUUUCUUACCGAAUAGAUGCGUUUUGGCUCCUUUAGAGGGGCAGAUUGUUUUCUACUUGAAAUUCUUGGCUAUUAAUCUUAUUUGGAACUCGAUUGUUCUUCCAGUUUGUUGGUUUUUCAUGUAUCUUCCAACAAGUUUCUCUUGCGUGUCUUGGUUUGUUGCAAAACCAUACUUUGCUUUUAUCAGCUCCCUUUCUUUGAUUACAUUGCAGAGCAUGAGCAGAAGUAAUUUCAGUUGUCAUAAUAUGUGCCGAAUUUUUUGCAACCGUAGAUGGAGUGGGAGAUCCCAUCAAGACCUGUCUUAGACUUUCCUCCCUCCUAACUUUAGAUAAUAUAGCUUGGAGGGAUGACAAUGGAUCCUCUCCCAAUAUUCAUUCAUGAACUUCAUCUAGUUCUUUGUUUAAAUCUAUCAAAAAUUGAAUGGCUCGAGCCCUCUCAAGCAUUUUUAUAUAUUGAACAUUAUCAGUAGCACAUGACCACUCAAGAUCAUAAAAAAUAUCAAGCUCUUGGAGAGUGUCUUCAAGGUAUUAAAGUGUUUUGCAACACUAGCAUUACCUUUUUUCAGGUCUUUGAUCUUACUUGUAAUCUCAAAUACUUGGGUUGAAUUCCCUAUUUGAAUGUCUCGAUCACGGUAUCCCAUAACUCUUUUGUAUUGGUCAAAACAUAAAAGUUUGUUCAAUUUAUGGUUUCACAAAGUUUGUCAAUGAUGAUGUGGUUAUGGAAUUUUCAUAAUCGCAUACUUUGAACUUGGGAUCAUCCUCUGCAGGUGUCAUUGAUCUGGUCAAAUUGUUGAUCUUUCCUUUUCCUCAGAUAUACAGUUUUACAGACUAGGACCAAUGUAGAAAGUUCUCUCUGUUGAGUUUAUGUAUUAUAAUCAGCAAGGAUGGAUUGCCACCUAAGCUGUUUAUUGGAGAUUGAAGCAUUGGUUUCAAUUUUCUCUCCUCUAGACAUUGUAGCAUAGGUUCCUCAUAAACAAACGAAGAAGAAGAAAUAGUUGGGGCUAAUCCGGAGUGUGGCAGAAUAGACUCAAUAGAGGAAAUUUUUUUUAACAAUUAAGGUUGAGAGAAAAAAGAAAAACAAUUUCUGUUGAAACCAAGCUCUGAUACCAUAAACCAAGGUUCACCCUACCGAUCUAUACCAAUGUAUCAAUUGAUCAUCGGUAUGGUAUGUACCAAGGUAUUAUAUGUCAGUACGUGUCGAUAUGAUAGGGCAUAUUGACGAUAUAGAAAAAUUAUCAAAGAUAGCUCAAAAAUGGAAAAAGUUAGAUUAAAGUUUUUAAGUUUGAAAUAAAUUUAAAUUUAUUAUAAUUUUAGCAAAAAUAAUCUAAUUUAGGAAAGAAUAGUGACACAUCUUUUUUGUGCUUUAAGGAAUAUCUUUGUCGUACGUUCUCAAUCGCCAUUAUGUUAAUAUUAAAUUAUUUAUAAAGAAAUUAUUUGAUUUUUUAGAUUAUUUAUUUAAACAACUUAAACGUUAAGAUUCAAAUGAAUCAAGUAAUUAAUCGAUGAAUUAUUAGAUUUUUUAGUUAAACAAUUUAAACUUUAAGAUUCAAUUAAAUCAAGUAAUCAAUCGAUGGAUAUACUUGGUUCUAUCACCAAAAAGAACGACGGGAUUCCACUGGGUGUGGAUCGAGGUCUUCAAUCCUCUAUCUCUAUAUAUAAAUUUGAUAUGCUUGUUAGACCCAAUCCUAAAAUUGAUCCCGUGACAUAGUAUACUAAUACACCGUAUGCCAUUAGUACAUUAAUGCGGUUUGGUCGUAGUUUGAUUGUCUUGAACCAUGUGUCUAAGGCAGCUCCUGAGGCAAGGAUGGUUGUGACAUAUAUUGGUGUGGAGCAUGGAGAAUGUCAUAACUUCUACUUUCGCUAUUGAUUUGUUGCUUCGUGUCAUUAGCUCGAUCAUUGCAUUAUUGCUCGGAGAAGAAUGACCAGCCAUGAUUGUAUUGCUGUUGGCUAUAAGAUUCUUCAUAAUAUAAUGACUAUGCAUACGAUGAGCUUUGCGCUGUGUCUAUGUCAUGUAGGCUCUGUCGUAUCUGUUGAAAACCAUCUACUGUUUUUCACUUUCCCUUCUAUGCGUAAACAUGACCAAAAUCUCAUCGAGCUUAAUGAUCUGAAUCCUGAGUGAUAUGUGUAAAAUAUUGCUUUUCAGUCCAUGUACCACCCUUAAAUUGUGUAGAUGUGAUCAUCUCUAGCGUUGCUGCUAUCAGCGGUGAAGGUACUUUGUCUACGACGCUGUCAUGUCUUUGGAUGGAGCGGGUUGUUGAAUGCGAUUGAGAAGAUGUCUUGUCGUCCGACACGAUUCUUUUCAACGGGUUAUAGCGUGCUUCACAGUUUCUGAAGCUACUAACUGCAAUAGAUAAAUAGUGGAAGGUAGUGUCAGUGCGCAUGUGUCACAUCAAGACAUUAUUUCAGUGGUGGAGAAUUGCUUGGAUUUGAGCAUGAUAAUAAGUAAAUGAUCAAAGGUACUCAUAAUCCACACUCAAACACCAUUUAGAGACUUUAAUCUGAAAGAAAUGGUUUAUGGGAACUGAUGGCAGGUGGAUUUAUGUGAGGAAUUUUAUCUGAUACAGAUGAUCAGCUUGAAGUUUUCAACUUCCUUUUGGUUGGAAGCAGAUACAGAAAAUAUAUUUAGUUUGGAUGCGCUUGAUCUGAGGUAGAAGAGGAGUUGGACUUAGAGAGGGCCUGUAUUAGAUUAGUUUUUUUGUAUUUUUCUGCAAACAGCACACGAUACUGCUUCAAAAGAUGAUGUUUUUGUUGCAAAAAAGGCUCUUUUGCCUUUUCCCAUGUAACAAUUCCUCCAUUUAUCUUUCCUCCUAUCAACUUUGCGGCCUGUUUAACUUUUCCACUGCCACAUACGAAAAUUCAGAGCACAGUUCCAACUUGAUAGUGGUCAACCCCCUUCAAUCAUGUGAACUUUCCUCAGAAAAGGCUGCAAAAACAGCCAAGUAUCACACCUGUCGUAAAAAUUCUUCGAGUCUUUCCAUUGAGUUCUUUAAGCAGAACGGUUGGAGCGAUGUACAAGUCAUGAAACUUACCCAGAAGGCACCCAAGUUGCUGCGUGCUAAUGUAGAGACUACACUGAAGCCCAAGAUGAGAUCUUUGCAGGACAUGGGAUUUUCUGUUACCGAAAUAGUUCAGUUGGUUUCAACAUGUCCGACUAUACUCUUUCAUAAUUUCCAACCGAAUUUGAACUUCUUGAAGGCACUACUUGGUUCUAAUGAGAGGUUACUGAAAGUCUGCAGGAAGAACCUAUUUCUUCUUACUUGUAGCUUAGCUCGGAAGAUAGAGCCCAAUAUCUCUCUCUUAAGGGAAUGUGGCAUCAGUGAUGAAUGCAUCGCGCGUAUGGUGGUGUUGAAUCCUGGUUUUGUUGUUCGAAAAAACAAAUUUAUUAAGGAAGUUAUGGACCAUGUUGAGGAGUUGGGUGUGCCACAUGAUUGUGGAACGUUCCCUUAUGCACUUGUUGCUGUCUUGAACAUGAGCAGAUCUAAGUUUGAUGCUACCUUUGCAACCUUGAAGAGCUUUGGCUGGUCCCAGCCAGACAUCGUUGCCAUACUCAGGAAGAACCCAGGUGUUUGGACACUCUCAAAGAAUAACAUAUCUGACAAGAUGACAUUCCUGUUGAAGGAAGCUGGUUGUGAGCUGCAGUAUAUCAUUCGCCAUCCUGGGAUUCUUUCAUAUAGCUUGGAGAAGAGGUUGAGACCUCGACUUGAAGUUAUGAAUUUUCUUGAGCAGAAUAAAUUGCUGGAUAAAGGACAUAGCCUUAUGUCUGUCAUGCUACUAACCGAGGGGAAGUUCAUAAACAAAUAUCUUUUCCCGUACAAGGAGAAAUUUACUGCUCUCUAUAGUUCCUUUGUUGCUGCUGUGCAGGGAAAGCACCAUGUUGUCGCUGAAAAUUAGGAUUGCAAGUGCUUCCUGGAGACAAAAGUGUAAUCCUAAUUGCAUACUUACUGCACUAUUUAAUCAUCUUAAAUAUGUGACAACUUAUAUUCUUUAGGUGUUUCGUCUGAGUAGAACAUCCCUGUUGAGUUUGAUAUUUUAUUUCUAAUUAUCUUUUGCCUACAA